AUUUUAAUUAUUAGGCUACAUUUUAAUUAUUACUUUGCUCAUUAUGAAAAAGUUACAAUUAAAAAAGAUGAAGCGUACUAUUCAUUUUACGGAAUGAUCUGUUCGAAGCCUAAAUAUUCUUGGCCGUCUCGGAAAUGCUAUUAAUAAGGCAGUUUUCAAAUUCCUCAUUUCAAUUUCUUCAUCAAUUCAAAAUCACAGUCAUCAAUUUCAGAAUUAAUUUUUUUUUAAAUUUUUAGGUUUAAUAAAAUGUUGACGAUUUUAUUGGUAAAAACUACUAAAAAGACACUUGACGUAACAUAUAAUUAUUAAAAUGAGAUAACAGCCAUCUACAACCGUGAUAAUAGCCGAAAAAUUAACUAAUCAAAAUUUUACCGGCCUCGAAUGGGCGGUUUACUUAACCCAUCUUUAAUCACUGAUUAAGGAGUUAACCGGCACUGUACAACAGACAAAAAGUCGUAAUCAUUGAUUAUAGUUUAAUCACAAUUUAACUGUGCACGCUACAACUGGCCCUUAGUAAAGUAAAAAUAGUGAACAAUUAUUUAAAAUCUAAAACGUGUCAACGUCUGUUGAUCGCCUACAUCUAAUGUUGCUGAACUCGAACAAGGGUGUUUUCAAUUUUGGAUAACGUUAAUAUGAAAAUCCUUGUUGAUAUCGUUACUUUUUAAAGAAAGAAGGAUUAUUAUGUACACAUUUGAAUACCUAAUAGUAAUAUUAAAUAUCUUAAGUCUUUAUGUAAUCUAAUCUAUUUCAAUUUGAUUUAUAUUUUGAACACAAUAAUUAUACGAGUAUGAUAUUUUUAAUACAAUUUUACAUUUUUUUUAUUCACUGAAGUCGAAAAUAUAUUCAAAUAUACACACCCCCCCUCAACUCUUCACACCGACCAGCGACCAUACUUAUUAAAUUAUUUAUUAUAGGCACGG